AACGUAGGAGUCGAGCGAUAUCCGGAUUUACUGGGCGUAAAGCGCACGCAGGUGGUUUCGUAAGUUGGACGUGAAAGCUCCUGGCUUAACUGGGAGAGGCCGUUCGAUACUGCGGGACUUGAGGUUGGGAGAGGGGUGGGGAAGUCCCGGUGUAGUGGUGGAAUGCGUAGAUAUCGGGAGGAACACCAGUGGUGUAGGCGGCACUCUGGGCCACACCUGACGCUGAGGUGCGAAAGCGUGGGGAGCAAACAGG
rnacentral:rRNA from 1 species